CUGGAUGGGCUAGGGGGGCGCGAGCCUUACCAAACCUAACCAAACUCCGAAUACCGAUGAGCACUAUCCGGCAGACAGACUACGGGUGCUAACAUCCGUGGUCGAAAGGGAAACAACCCAGACCGCCAGCUAAGGUCCCCAAGUCGCGACUAAGUCAGAAAGGAUGUAGGACAGCCAUGACAACCAGGAGGUUGGCUUAGAAGCAGCCAUCCUUUAAAGAAAGCGUAACAGCUCACUGGUCUAAACAAGCCGUCCCGCGCCGAAAAUGUAACGGGAGUCAAGUCGCGCACCGAAGCUGCGGGCUCGAGCAAUCGAGCGGUAGCGGAGCAUUCCCUAAGCCUGCGAAGGAUACCGCGCGAGCGGGUCUGGAGGCAUGGGAAGAGAGAAUGUUGACACGAGUAGCGAUAAAGAGUGUGAAAAUCACUCUCGCCGUAAGCCCAAGGGUUCCUGCGUAAAGUCAAUCUGCGCAGGGUGAGCCGGCUCCUAAGGCGAGGCCGAAAGGCGUAGUCGAUGGGAACCACGUUAAUAUUCGUGGGCCUGCUGGGUGAUGACGAAGGCCGAAAUCCGUCUCCACUUAUCGGAUUGUGGGGGCGGCCCAGGACUUCCAGGAAAUAGCCCCAGCGUACAGACCGUACCCUAAACCGACACAGGUGGGCUGGUAGAAUAUACCAAGGCGCUUGAGAGAACUGCGUUGAAGGAACUCGGCAAAUUGCCUCCGUAACUUCGGGAUAAGGAGGGCCCUACCCGCGCAAGCGGGCUAGGGCGGCACAAAAUAGGGGGUGGCGACUGUUUAACAAAAACACAGCACUCUGCUAAGUCGCAAGACGACGUAUAGGGUGUGACGCCUGCCCGGUGCCGGAAGGUUAAGGAGAGGAGUGAAAGCUCUGAACCGAAGCCCCGGUAAACGGCGGCCGUAACUAUAACGGUCCUAAGGUAGCGAAAUUCCUUGUCGGGUAAGUUCCGACCUGCACGAAUGGCGUAACGAUCGCCCCACUGUCUCCAACGCAGACUCAGCGAAACUGAAUUCUCCGUGAAGAUGCGGAGUACCCGCGGCUAGACGGAAAGACCCCGUGCACCUUUACUACAACUUUGCAGUGGUAUUAGGACGUCCAUAUGUAGCAUAGGCGGGAGACUUCGAAGUUCCGGCGCCAGCCGGGAUGGAGUCGUCAGUGAAAUACCGCUUUUGGAUGUUCUGAUAUCUAACCGCGGCCCCACACGGGGCCCGGGACCCUGCAUGGUGGGUAGUUUGACUGGGGCGGUCGCCUCCCAAAGAGUAACGGAGGCGCGCGAAGGUGGGCUCAAGCUGGUCGGAAAUCAGCUGUUGAGUGCAAUGGCAUAAGCCCGCCUGACUGCGAGACAGACAAGUCCAGCAGAGACGAAAGUCGGCCAUAGUGAUCUGGUGGUUCUGUAUGGAAGGGCCAUCGCUCAACGGAUAAAAGGUACGCCGGGGAUAACAGGCUGAUCU
rnacentral:rRNA from 1 species